rnacentral:lncRNA from 1 species
UUUAAAUUAUUAAAAAUAAACAUCAAUAAAAUCAAAUAACACUUAAAGAUACAUUUAACAAUGUCUAUGAUUUUUUAGACAGACAUAUAAAAGAGAUUUGAACAAAAAAAACAAUGUAUUUAUCAUAUAAUUUUGUUAGUAAUCAUAACAAUAGGAGACUAUAUUUUAGGUAUUAAAAUAUUAUUGAAAUUGGUCUUGAAAGUUGUUUUUUUUUAUCUGUAAGCACUAAGUAAGGUAUAAGUUAUCCCUUAAAGUGUAUUGUGAUAUUGUUACUACUUCCAGAUAUGAUAGAACUUAUAAUACAAAUGAUAAACAGCAGUUUACAGUGUUAAAACUAUUAAGGAGGAAUGAACUAAAACUAUGCAAGCUUUCCAUAUAGAUAAUGUAUUUAAAAGAACUAUUCUAAAUAUGAUUUUAAAAAUAUUCACUUACAAUUUGAACUAUGGUUGAUUUAAUGAUUGAAAGUAAAGCGUAUGUAGAAUAAUAAAAGGUGAAAGACUUGUGAUAAAUGGCCACUGUUCUGAUUAGAACUAUAUUUUGUUUUAUAUUUUUUACAAUAAAAUUUAUUUGCUUGAAAAUUACCUGUUUUUAAAACUAUUGCUAAUAGAAGUACAGUUUUGACAAAUUAUUGUUACCAAGUAUAUGGGUUAACCAAAGCAUGCUUUGAUAGUAUUUUUGAUUCAACAAAUCUAAAUCCCUGAGUAUAAACCUAAAAGUUUAUAU